CCCAGCUGGGCAGAGGGAUCCUCCUCCCAUCAUCACUGCCUUCAUUUGGCAUGAAGGUCCUGCUUCAGCCUGCCACAGAACCUGUCCUGCAUAGCAAACCCCUCCUUCCCACCUGGAUGGAUUGCAGCGCUCUGGCAUCUCAUUCAUGCAUCUGCUGUUGCACCACUGCUGCCAAUCCAGCCCGGGCUUUAGGAGAAGAGAACAUGAUCGUUUCGUUGGGUGCUGGUGGAGUCACCACACAAGCACAGAAGACCCAUCUAAUCCUUGCAUUCCUGCAGGAAAGAAAGCCAGCAGUCAGCUAAACAUACACGGCCACCGGCAUGUGUUAUUUUUAAGUUCAAAAUCCUGAAGGCAAGGUUUAAAGGCAAGUCGAAUGGCAUUUUCUCCGUGAGCUGCCUUAAGUCCCCUUGUCUCUUGCUGGGAUUGCGUCAGCCAGCAGUGACAUAUUUUGGUGCAGGAGCUGUCUCCGUCCCUGUUCUCAAGGCGCUUUUAAGCCUCCGUAAGCGGCUGCAGUGAGCAAAUUGAGACACGAAGCAAAUGCUGGCUCCCAUCUACAUAUCUUGUCACUCGGGAUUGACAGAGACCACAGAGCGGCCUCACGAAGGGAUAAAGUCAAACGAUACGCCUGCCUGAUGUUCCGUGCCGUAGCCUGCUCCUCCUCCCCGGAGCCAAGGGCAGGCUCGCCGUGCCCCGCGGCGGUGUCCCUGCCCGCCAGCUGUCUGCCACCGGCCGAUGCCGAGAGGCCCCGGGCGGCCCCGCUCUGCCACACCACCUCCUCCCUGCCCGGGCGUGUGAAAGCCCGGCACCUAUCCCCCUUCCCCUCCCUCUUCUGCUGGCCACACGAAGCCGAGGCUGCACCAGCCCUCACGACUACCUGGGAGCAUCACGACUCCCUCUCCCACGCACUCUGCUCCCACUACCACCCAAGCACCAUGCGUGACAGAAAUCAAUGACUUCACUCUAGGGAUAUGUCUCUUUAAGUCCCAUGUUUAGUCACUUUGCCUCACGCUGUGACAGUGUUAGGAGAUGAAGUGAGGGUUGCAAAUGCAGAAGAGGAUAUCAUAUGCCUCCUGAGAGCCCUGGAUACCAGCUUAGGGAUACACCUGGAGUGCCCAGGCACAGCAAUCAGCUCUGCUGUAACAGCAUCCCAAGUACAUUUAUCAAUGGGGUUAGAAUCGUUGAGCUGGUUUGGUUGGCAAAGAUCUUUAAGAUCAGUGAGUCCAGCAGUCAUCUAA